rnacentral:lncRNA from 1 species
UUCUACAGGCAUAUAAGGCUUGAAAAAUUACGACAAGCAAGUGUAAGGGAAGAUUCAUGCUCACUUUGUUUUGAUGGAUCUGCCACAGUUAGGUUAGAUCCUUGUCGUCAUACUGGAUUUUGUACACAGUGUGCCUUGCAGCUUGAAGUGUGCCCUAUGUGCCGUAGUGCUAUAGAUGAAAGAGUUGAAGUUGGAUGAAGGCAAGUUUUCUGAACUUUUAAAUUUAAAAUAAGUUGUUUUUUAUGUAAUUGUUUGGCAUUAUUAAUAUUUACCAUAUUUUAAUAUACAGAUUAUACAAGUCUGGGCCUGAAGAUUUUAAAUAUGACUGAAAUUUUAUUGACAUGAUAUAUUUAUCCAGAUUGAAGAACUGUCUCAAUCUGAGAGAAAUCUAUGCUUGUUUUUAUGAGAAAGCUAUAUUGGUACAUACUAUUGAUGCUAAAAUCAUUGUUGCACAUAUAAAGUUCUAAAAUGAAAUAUUUUUAAAGAAACUCGGGUUAUAACCAGUUUAAUAGAAAUUACAAUUGAUAUUAAAAAAAUGGCCUUUUUAUUAUUCAUACACAGGGAAAAGAACUAUUUGAUUUCAUUAUUGUAAAUUGCUUUUGAUCCUGGUUAUCAUCAGAUAAUGUGUAAUUUUUUUUAAGUGUCUUUUGUAUUCAAGAUUUUCCAGUAUUUCGUGUGUGAUGCAACUCGGUGUUUCAUGAUUGAUUCCAGUAAAAAGAAUUAUGCCUAUAGUUUCAUGUAAAUUUAUGCAAGUCUAGUGCCAAAUAUUGAACCUUGUAUGGUUUCUUUAAUUUUCAGUGGUAGAUUUUUUCGAUAUGUUUAUCAUUAAAUCAUACUGAAUUUGCAUAGCAGUUACUAUAUCAUAUCCGUAUAUAUAUUCACUAUUUAUUGUGUGUCAAAGACCUGGGAAUUUUAUGACCUUAUUUAAAUUUGUAUAUAUCUUGUGAGUUUGUUAUUUUAUUCUGGGGUAUGGCAAGCUUUUAACUUUGUAUCCUUUUGUCAUAAAAUUUAGCCUUUAAUAUUAGAAAGGCAUGAAUGUCCAUUUAAUUACUUUUUUAAUCAAUGUUUCUUUAUUAUACAAUUUUAUAUUAAAUAAAACCAGUGAAAAGCUUUUAUUUCCAUAAAUAUGUUUUGUUAAGAAAGGGCAGAGAGAUUUUUUAACACAUUUAAGACUUCUACACUUUUACUUUAAGGUGGGAGUCAUUAAAUUUUUUAGUUUAGUGUUAAUCAGGAGCAACUAGCACAUUUUCAUUUUUUUACUGAAGUUAGAAGCCUGUGAUAUAUUUUAAUGUUUUUUCCAGAGUUGCGGUUGGAGGCAUUAUGCUCAAAACCAUAGUAAAUUUGCUAUUCAUAUUAAAAAUGAAAAAAAAAAUAAUAAUAAUUGGCAUUUAAUAAAAGAGCUUCUGGGAAAAAAUGAAAUGACUAAUUAUUGAAGUGAAGCUUACAAUAAAAAAUUGAUUUUUGAAAAAAAUUUAGAUUUUUGGAAAUUUUGCAAUCUAUGCACUUAUUAAACAGAAAGAAAAAAAAAGGCUUAUAAUGGCAGUUAAAUAAAAUAUGUUCAUCCAGUUAAUUAUCUUUUGAAGAAAUUUAAAAUAUGUGUAAAUUAAAACUGUAGUUAUCAGUGGUUAAAUCUAUGUAACCAAAUAAAAGAAGACUAGAGUUGACUUCCCCAAAGAUUAAAACAUACAAAGUUCUGCUGACAUAUUCUGUAAAACUGGGUUCAUUGCAUUUAUAAUUUUCAGUUCUUCAUUAAUAUUGAAUAAAAAUCUGACUAAUACAAUUGUAAUAUGUUGGAUGAUUAUGCAAAUUUAUGACAACAUGUGUACAUGAACAAUAUACUAACAUAAACGUAGCUGAUAAUCUGCUUAUAAUUGAAAUCAUGACUUACGAAUGACAAAGGCCAGUAAAGGAUAACCUGCAUAGUUUAAUUCUUCCAUGAUUCAAUGAUGAAAAUUAUCAGUCGUCACAAAAA